UGAGGAAAACGAGUGGUCCAGAUAACAGCUAU
rnacentral:piRNA from 1 species